GAUGAACGCUGGCGGCGUGCCUAAUACAUGCAAGUCGAGCGAACGGACGAGAAGCUUGCUCCUCUGAGGUUAGCGGCGGACGGGUGAGUAACACGUGGAUAACCUACCUAUAAGACUGGGAUAACUUCGGGAAACCGGAGCUAAUACCGGAUAAUAUUUUGAACCGCAUGGUUCAAAAGUGAAAGACGGUCUUGCUGUCACUUAUAGAUGGAUCCGCGCUGCAUUAGCUAGUUGGUAAGGUAACGGCUUACCAAGGCAACGAUGCAUAGCCGACCUGAGAGGGUGCUCGGCCACACUGAAACUGAGACACGGUCCAGACUCCUACGGGAGGCAGCAGUAGGGAAUCUUCCGCAAUGGGCGAAAGCCUGACGGAGCAACGCCGCGUGAGUAAUAAAGGUCUUCGGAUCGUAAAACUCUGUUAUUAGGAAAGAACAUAUGUGUAAGUAACUGUGCACAUCUUGACGGUACCUAAUCAGAAAGCAACGGCUAACUACGU
rnacentral:rRNA from 1 species